rnacentral:rRNA from 1 species
AACGAACGCUGGCGGCAUGCCUAACACAUGCAAGUCGAACGAUCCCUUCGGGGAUAGUGGCGCACGGGUGCGUAACGCGUGGGAACCUGCCCUUAGGUUCGGAAUAACUCGGAGAAAUUUGAGCUAAUACCGGAUAAUGUCUUCGGACCAAAGAUUUAUCGCCUUUGGAUGGGCCCGCGUUGGAUUAGCUAGUUGGUGGGGUAAAGGCCUACCAAGGCGACGAUCCAUAGCUGGUCUGAGAGGAUGAUCAGCCACACUGGGACUGAGGCACGGCCCAGACUCCUACGGGAGGCAGCAGUGGGGAAUAUUGGACAAUGGGCGAAAGCCUGAUCCAGCAAUGCCGCGUGAGUGAUGAAGGCCUUAGGGUUGUAAAGCUCUUUUACCCGGGAUGAUAAUGACAGUACCGGGAGAAUAAGCCCCGGCUAACUCCGUG